rnacentral:rRNA from 1 species
CCUACGGGUGGCAGCAGUGAGGAAUAUUGGUCAAUGGGAGAGAGCCUGAACCAGCCAAGCCGCGUGAGGGAAGACGGCCCUAUGGGUUGUAAACCUCUUUUGUCGGAGAACAAAACCCGGGACGUGUCCCGGCCUGCGAGUAUCCGAAGAAAAAGCAUCGGCUAACUCCGUGCCAGCAGCCGCGGUAAUACGGAGGAUGCGAGCGUUAUCCGGUUUUAUUGGGUUUAAAGGGUGCGUAGGCGGUCCGUUAAGUCAGCGGUAAAAUUGCGGGGCUCCACCCUGUCGCGCCGUGGAAACUGGCAGACUUGAGUUGGCGAGAAGUACGCGGAAUGCGCGGUGUAGCGGUGAAAUGCAUAGAUAUCACGCGGAACACCGGUGGCGAAGGCGGCUUACUGGACUGUAACUGACGUUGAGGCUCGAAAGCGUGGGGAGCGAACAGGAUUAGAUACCCUGGUAGUC